ACUGCCUCAACUGUUCGCUCAAUGAUUUCUGGACCCAAAAUUCUGUUUUCCCCGACUUCAUCCCAAUGGAUAGGGGAUCUGCACUUUCUACCAUAAAGAGCUUCAUACGGGGCCAUUCCUAUAGUGGCCUGAAAACUAUUGUUGUAAGCAAACUCCACUAACGGCAGGUGUGUCUCCCAACUACCUCCAAGAUCCAAAACACAUGCCCUUAGCAUAUCUUCCAAAGUUUGGAUGGUUCUUUCUGAUUGUCCAUCCGUCUGAGGAUGAUAAGCUGUGCUAAACUUCAGUUUUGUCCCCAUGGCUGUCUGCAAACUUUUCCAAAAUUUAGAUGUGAACCUCGGGUCUCUAUCUGAAACAAUGGUGACUGGGACUCCAUGCAACCUGACUAUCUCCUUGAUGUAUAAGUGUGCCAGCUGUUCCAAGUUAAAGUUUACUUUAAUUGGAAGAAAAUGGGCUGACUUCGUCAGACGAUCCACCACUACCCAGAUAGCAUUGUGACCUUUUGCUGAUCUCGGGAGGCCUACCACAAAGUCCAUCGUUAUGUGUUCCCAUUUCCAUUCUGGAAUAUCCAACGGUUUCAGUAAUCCUGAUGGCCUUUGAUGUUCUGCCUUAACCUGUUGACAGAUAAUACAUCUCUCCACGAACAGACCAAUUCCUCUCUUCAUGUUUCUCCACCAAAAUACAUCCCGGAGAUCUCGGUACAUUUUCGUACCACCUGGAUGAGCAGAAUAAGGGGUUGAAUGAGCCUCUUCUAAUAUCUCAUUUCUUAUACUUUCAUCCUUAGGUACACACAGUCUUCCUUUGAAAGUUAGCGCAUUAUCUGCAGAUACUUCAAACCCUAUAUGUUUAUCUGUACCAAUCUCGGCCUUUAUCUUCUGUAAAAAUGGAUCUUUAUCCUGUGCCUCCUUGAUUCGAUCUCGAAGUGUAGGUUGAAUCAUGAAUGCUCUUAUUCUCGCUGAAAUCUGAGUUGGCGGCGUGAUAACUUCCAAUCUCAAUUUAUCAAACUCCCUUAUCAAGUGUUCCUGUACUGUGGGUAAAACUGCUAACUGUGUUCCUGUCUUUCUGCUUAGGGCAUCUGCAACUACAUUAGCCUUACCCGGAUGGUAAUGAAUUGUGCAGUCAUAAUCCUUCACUAACUCCAACCAUCUCCUCUGUCUCAUAUUUAGUUCCUUCUGUGUGAAAAAGUAUUUGAGACUCUUGUGGUCCGUAUAAAUUUCACACUUCCCACCGUAAAGAUAAUGACGCCAUAUCUUUAAGGCGUGAACAACUGCUGCAAGCUCCAAGU
rnacentral:lncRNA from 1 species